AGCUCCAAUAGCGUAUAUUAAAGUUGUUGCAGUUAAAAAGCUCGUAGUUGGAUUUGUGGUUUGGUUUGUCGGCCGAUGGACUUUGUCUGUUGUGUUGUACGGACCUGCCUUUUAUGGGAUUGUCUUCUUUGUGGCAUUAGGUUGUCGCAUUGUUGAUGCCCAUCUUUUACUGUGAAAAAAUUAGAGUGUUCAAAGCAGGCUUAUGCCGUUGAAUAUAUUAGCAUGGAAUAAUGAUAUAGGACCUUGGUACUAUUUUGUUGGUUUGCGCACUGAGGUAAUGAUUAAUAGGGACAGUUGGGGGUAUUCGUAUUCCAUUGUCAGAGGUGAAAUUCUUGGAUUUUUGGAAGACGAACUACUGCGAAAGCAUUUACCAAGGAUGUUUUCAUUAAUCAAGAACGAA
rnacentral:rRNA from 1 species